rnacentral:rRNA from 1 species
GAGUUUGAUCCUGGCUCAGAUUGAACGCUGGCGGCAGGCCUAACACAUGCAAGUCGAGCGGUAGAGAGAAGCUUGCUUCUCUUGAGAGCGGCGGACGGGUGAGUAAUGCCUAGGAAUCUGCCUGGUAGUGGGGGAUAACGCUCGGAAACGGACGCUAAUACCGCAUACGUCCUACGGGAGAAAGCAGGGGACCUUCGGGCCUUGCGCUAUCAGAUGAGCCUAGGUCGGAUUAGCUAGUUGGUGAGGUAAUGGCUCACCAAGGCGACGAUCCGUAACUGGUCUGAGAGGAUGAACAGUCACACUGGAACUGAGACACGGUCCAGACUCCUACGGGAGGCAGCAGUGGGGAAUAUUGGACAAUGGGCGAAAGCCUGAUCCAGCCAUGCCGCGUGUGUGAAGAAGGUCUUCGGAUUGUAAAGCACUUUAAGUUGGGAGGAAGGGCAGUAAAUUAAUACUUUGCUGUUUUGACGUUACCGACAGAAUAAGCACCGGCUAACUCUGUGCCAGCCGCCG